ACUACACUUCACUUGAUCUCCACACGCACUACUAUGCUACUGUUCAGGCUGGUGAAAUAUGAGGAUUCAGUCAAACUCUGAGAUUUCAGAGCGUCGAUGGCUGAAUUUGAAAAUUGAGGAAGACUUCUAAAAUGUCUUGUUGGUAACAGCUGGAGACCUCAGCCAAAGUACGUAGGGCACCACCAACUUUUUUAUAAAUGUUGCUGUCUGAACACAUUUACCAUGUAAGUAAUUCAGCCUUAUGUCUGACUACAGGAAUAUACUCAUCACAGCUUAACUGUAAUGGAGACUGCAGACUCCAGUCUCGCUAAUGAGGCAGCUCAGAACUGCAGAUAUCCUGGACAGUGACGUUCAAAUGAAUACACUGCAGAAGAAGAAAUAGUGUAUCGCCACAGAGUACGGGAUAAUUACUACAGAACAGGUAUAUCAGUCUUACACGAAGAUGAGUUUGAAGCUUACAGGUUACUCGGAAGUGCCCAGGAGCUAGGCGUAUUGAAUAUACACCAGUGCGUAGACUGCAGUUCUAGGCACAUGCUGAUUGCAAGGGGGGGUGUCCGUGGCACCAACACUCUGGGAACUGGCCCCUUCAACAGUCAGUUCACACGGGCACAGGUAUGUCAGUCUGAAGGUCAGUGUUGGCCGAAGACGGAAAGACACGUAGGCAUUUUCAGGCCAUCCCCUUGUGCUCCAGUCCUCUCCUCGUCCCCCAUCCCCACACAGAUUCUACCACAAAAGGCCUAAAAAGCCUUUGUGGUUUUAAAGAUGAGCUGUGGAGUCCACAGUGUAGACCUUAUGGCAGGUACCCAGGCAAUAAAAACAUUAUGACAGGUACUUAUGCAAAAAAGUUUGUUUUCUAGGAUGUCUUUAUGCAUCUAGUCUGCAGGUUAGACCUCCUGUCUAAGCUCUGGACAUGCUUACGGAUGUUCAGCCCUGUGGCUUUCAUACCAAAAAGAGAUCCCGCUCCCUUACAAGCCACACAAAUGCUGACAUUCACUUCCAUGCGAGCAAAUUCAAGCACUAUAAUUAUAGAUAUCUUGCUCCGCUUUUAACCUCUUUAACUCAGUUUUGUUCUGUCCAUAUUUACAGAGACUGGCUAUCGGACACGGCAAAUGGAGCAAUUAUCUACGUACAUGUCCCUUCACUGAAUAAACACACUCAGGUAGCAUUUCCCUAGAUAUUCUCCACACUUAAUGUAACUUUUGAAUUUGUAGCCACAUUUUAAACAAAUAGCCAAACGAACAAACAUACAUUAAUUAGAACUCUUAAAAUCUAAUCACAUCUCCCGGUACCCAUUCAUUCCUGAUGCACACCUCCUGCUUACAGUGGCUCAGAGAGCAGUAUUUGCAACCAGCAUUUGCAAGUAACUCCAUGAAGUGCUCAGGCCCAUACACGUGCCUCAACAUUUUGCCAAUAGAAACUUUUAAAUGAAACAAUAUUCUUAAUAUCAGAGCCAGAUACUAAAUCUGCAGCGUGACUGGGGUGCAUAGGCAACUCUUGUAACAGCAGUAAGAUUCCAGUAAAAUUGCAGUUGGUUGCAAUCCAACCUUUAUGCUGUUAUCUGUCGUUGAGAUAUAUAUAGAUGACCCUGUGUGGCCUAACUGCAAAUAUCAAAUGUAUUUUUACAAGUUAGCAACAGCCUUUUUUGACAUUGCCUCGAGAUGUCCUCUACAUUGUGACUGACAAGCACAAAAAUAAUUCAUUAUACAGUAUGCUUUAAAAGCCUUUUUCUACAUUUGGCUUUUACUGUUGCUUGUUUCUGAGCUGUCUUCUAUUGCUGAGAUUUGCUGUCCCUGGCCGCCUUGAUUUCUUUCUUAGUUUUUAAUUGCUGGUUGGACAUGCUAGUGGCAUCUCCCAGGCAAACCCUUUCUACAUAAUUAGUUUUGAAACUUGGAUGAGUCAUUGGGCUCUAACUACUAUGCCUCUAUUAUUCUAACUUGAAUACAGCACAUCUCAAAGAUUUUGGCCUCUUUUUGCAGUUGUGGAAAUUCAUAGGAUGGCAUCGUUGCAAGUCUUGAUCCAUUUGCUUUCUAUUGUGAGUUUCCAGGGUUUUUUCACAAUAUAAAGCACAUUUCAAAGCAUAACAGUGUUGCGAACCAGCCUCCUCUCCCAGUGGUGCAGAUAAUGUUCUGCUUUUUUGGCAGCUGAAUAAAGCAAUGCCAUAUUUAUGACAAAAGUUAAUGAAAAUAUGUAAAAUUAAAAAUACUUCAUGUAGUUUUCAUUUUCUUUU